GCCGAAGUAGCUCAAUGGUAGAGCGUCUCUUUUGUAAAGAGCGGGUUGGGGGUUCAAGUCCUCUCUUCGGCUCCA
rnacentral:tRNA from 1 species